GGCGGUCAGCGUCCAGGGCAAGCGACAUGGACUGGCCUGGCUGUCGCUGACCCAGGGCGAGAUCGGCCUGGCC
rnacentral:SRP_RNA from 1 species